GACGAACGCUGGCGGCGUGCUUAACACAUGCAAGUCGAGCGGUAAGGCCCUUUCGGGGGUACACGAGCGGCGAACGGGUGAGUAACACGUGGGUGACCUGCCCUCAGCUCUGGGAUAAGCCUGGGAAACUGGGUCUAAUACCGGAUAUGACUUCGCAUCGCAUGGUGUGGGGUGGAAAGUUUUUCGGCUGGGGAUGGGCCCGCGGCCUAUCAGCUUGUUGGUGGGGUGAUGGCCUACCAAGGCGACGACGGGUAGCCGGCCUGGGAGGGCGACCGGCCACACUGGGACUGAGACACGGCCCAGACUCCUACGGGAGGCAGCAGUGGGGAAUAUUGCGCAAUGGGCGGAAGCCUGACGCAGCGACGCCGCGU
rnacentral:rRNA from 1 species